CCUACGGGGCGCAGCAGUGAGGAAUAUUGGUCAAUGGACGCAAUCCUGAACCAGCCAUGCCGCGUGCAGGAAGACGGCUCUAUGAGUUGUAAACUUCUUUUGUACGAGGACAAACGCAGAUACGUGUAUCUGUCUGCAAGUAUCGUACGAAUAAGCAUCGGCUAACUCCGUGCCAGCAGCCGCGGUAAUACGGAGGAUGCAAGCGUUAUCCGGAUUUAUUGGGUUUAAAGGGUGCGUAGGCGGUCCGUUAAGUCAGAGGUGAAAUUGCGAGGCUCAACUCCG
rnacentral:rRNA from 1 species